UUUAUACUCCCUCCGUCCGAAAAUACUUAUCAUUAAAAUGAUAAAAAAAAAUAUAUCUAGAACUAAAAUACGUCUAGAUACAUCCCUUUUUAUUUAUUUUGAUGAUAAAUAUUUUCGAACGGAGGGAGUAUUAA
rfam:Triticum aestivum genome assembly, contig: Triticum_aestivum_CS42_TGACv1_scaffold_271466_3DS